rnacentral:lncRNA from 1 species
CUUCUCUGUGUGCUUCACCAUCCUCUUUUUGCUUUUUCUUCUUUUUCGCGGUCUUCCCAAUUGACCAUAUCUUCAAGGCUUUAAUUUUAUCUAUCACAGUUUAAGUCGGUCGUUAACUCCUCUUUCUUUCUCGAGCUCUUUUGCAGCUGCGAAAAAGCUUAAGAAAAGGAUAUAGAGAGAGAGAGAGAGAGAGAGAGAGAGAGAGAGAGAGAGAGAGAGGGAGGAGGGGAAGAGGGACCUAUUUGCGGACAUAGAUUGCGAUAGGCAAAAUUGGAACACCAAAUAAAAGGGGUUUCUUGGGGGGGACCAUGAAGAAGAAGAAGAAGAAGAAGAAGAAGAAGAGGAAGCAGAAGCAGAAGAAGAAGAUGAUGAUGAAAAAGCAGGGAGGACGGAGAAGGCUAGAGACAAACCGGAAUGAAGAACAAAAAGAAAAAAUAAUUUUUAUUUUUUUAAUAUAUUUAAUUAUUAUUUUUCAAAUAAAAAAUAUAUAUUACAUUAUAUACAAGAUGAUGAUUAUGUGACAGUCACAUAAGCUAUGUAGCCUUAUUAGCAGUAAUGUAAAAUAUAUAUAUAUAUAUAUGUAUAUAUAUAAACUAUAUAUUUAUAUUUUUGAGUAAUUAUAUUUAAAUGUUGCUCUGCAAAACCCAUCAUACAAGAGAAAAAAGAAAAAAUAAGAGGCACAAUUAGAAUUUAGGCCAGUACAUUUUUACCUCUUCCCAAAAAAUUUAGGGGUUCAAACGAUCUAAAUCAUGUACUAAUAGAACUCUUUAAGUGCUUUGAAAAACCAAAAAUGGCAGAGGCAAAAUCUGUUUCCUUACGGAGCAAACAGUUUUCUUACUUUUCCAAUGAAUCUGCGGCACACUGGGCAUGCCUUGUUUUCAACAUUAAAAAUCCUGCAAAAAACCCAAUACUCGUGAUCAGCUUUCACAAACCCAAUUUCUAAUUAUACUUCUUAACUCAUUGCAAAUAUAUUCACCC